CGGGUGAGUAAUGUAUGGGGAUCUGCCUGAUGGCGGGGGAUAACUACUGGAAACGGUAGCUAAUACCGCAUAAUGUCUGCGGACCAAAGCGGGGGACCUCCGGGCCUCGCGCCAUCAGAUGAACCCAUAUGGGAUUGGCUAGUAGGUAAGGUAACGGCUUACCUAGGCGACGAUCCCUAGCUGGUCUGAGAGGAUGAUCAGCCACACUGGGACUGAGACACGGCCCAG
rnacentral:rRNA from 1 species